GGGGAUGGUGUCGGGAUUAUUGGGCGUAAGCGCGCGCAGGCGGUCCUUUAAGUCUGAUGUGAAAGCCCACGGCUCAACCGUGGAGGGUCAUUGGAAACUGGGGGACUUGAGUGCAGGAGAGGAGAGCGGAAUUCCCAGUGUAGCGGUGAAAUGCGUAGAUAUUGGGAGGAACACCGGUGGCGAAGGCGGCUCUCUGGACUGCUACUGACGCUGAGGCGCGAAAGCUAGGGGAGCAAACGGGAUUAGAUACCCCGGUAGUCCUAGCCGUAAACGAUGGGCACUAGGUGUGGGAGGUAUCGACCCCUUCCGUGCCGCAGCUAACGCAUUAAGUGCCCCGCCUGGGGAGUACGGCCGCAAGGUUGAAACUCAAAGGAAUUGACGGGGGCCCGCACAAGCGAUGGAGCAUGUGGUUUAAUUCGACGCAACGCGAAGAACCUUACCAGGGCUUGACAUCCCGCGAACUCCUCCGAAAGGAGGGGGUGCCCGCAAGGGAGCGCGGAGACAGGUGGUGCAUGGCUGUCGUCAGCUCGUGUCGUGAGAUGUUGGGUUAAGUCCCGCAACGAGCGCAACCCUCACCCCUUGUUGCUAUCAGGUCAGGCUGGGCACUCUAGGGGAACUGCCCCGGUCAACGGGGAGGAAGGUGGGGACGACGUCAAGUCAUCAUGCCCCUUACGUCCUGGGCUACACACGUGCUACAAUGGCCGGUACAAAGGGAUGCAAGACCGCGAGGUGGAGCUAAACCCAAAAAGCCGGUCUAAGUUCAGAUUGGAGUCUGCAACUCGACUCCAUGAAGGAGGAAUCGCUAGUAAUCGCGCAUCAGCACGGCGCGGUGAAUACGUUCCCGGGCCUUGUACACACCGCCCGUCACACCACGAAAGCCAGUUGUACUCGAAGUCGCCGAGCUAACCCGCAAGGGAGGCAGGCGCCGAACGUAUGACUGGUGAUUGGGGUGAAGUCGUAACAAGGUAACC
rnacentral:rRNA from 1 species